rnacentral:tRNA from 1 species
AGCUGACCUGGGCCGAUGCCAUUCGUUCAGCUUCCCAAGCUGAAUACGCGGGUUCGAUUCCCGUCAUCG